rnacentral:lncRNA from 1 species
UUCCACUUUUAAAUUAAGUAUUCCAAGUUGAAUAUUUGAGUCAACCAAGUAAUAAGAAACAUAUUACUUUGUUCAUAAACUAAGUGGCUGGGUUUAUAAAGAAUGCUGAAACUGAAGACUUUUAUUUGAGCCUAAAACCUUUCUUUUUUGCCCCAUUAAAGGUAAAAAAGAACUAUAGUCAACCCUCCAAAUGUUAUUUCUACACACCAUUACUCCCUAAAUAACACAAUAUAACAUGUUUUCACAUAGCAUUUAUACUGUAUUAGAUAAUACAAGUAAUCUAGAGAUGAUUUAAAGCUAACAGAAGGAUGUGCCUGGGUUACAUGCAAACACUGUGCCAUUUUAUAGAAGAGACUUGAGUGUCUGCAGAUAAUGGUAUCUGUGGAGUGGAAGGAUGCUUAGAACCAGCUCUUCUUGGGUCCUGAGGGAGAAUUUAUGUUAAACACUAUGUGGAACAAAGCAUUGGGCUUCAAGCCAGGGCCAACUUUGAUCUGGGGAACCAAGAACAGGAGCAUCAAGAGCGGCAAAUGGAGGAUCGAGAACUUGGCAAAAAGCAGCUACUGUCACAGGAAGCUUGAAGAAUGUGCAUGGAAAAUAAGAGUAUAUUCUGUUCUGUCCACAUUUCUUUCAUGGCCUGGUUUUGUGAUCAGGAAGAGGAUUUUGGAGAGUGUUAUGUAAGAGAUUUUGCUGCUAUUGAGUACCAGGUGCAGGCAUCCUCUUCUUUCCAGCUGUGCCCCAAAUCCUGACACAGUAUUGUGGAGUCCUGCAGAUAGGCCCUGGAUAACAUCAUGACCUGGCUCCCAACCUCACAAACCCAGAGACAUGGCCAGCAAGUAGAUACAUCUUGCAUGCCAACAACCAUUUGAAUUUUUAGCAGUGGUGACCUAUAACAUGGUGUUGGAGAAGACUGCAAGGUACCUCCAUGCUAGCCCUUAAUGUUUUCUAAGUGAGCACACAAGGCCUCAUGUGUAUCAUCCCUGAGUCUGUAACACACGAAAGGGGGAUUUCAUAAGUGGCUAACUAAACAACUACCAGACUCUUAAGAUAAUUGAAGAGAAACAUAGUGGUAGUUUAAUGGUGGUAACUGACAGUUCUCUGACACACACUUUAAGAACACUGGUUAACAAACAUGUCUGGUAAGGAAAGGAUUUCCCAAACUUGUUCUAUAGACUGUUUGGGCUGAAUAAUUCUUGUUGUUGAGGGCUAUCAUACAUUGUACAUUGUAGGAUGCUUACAAAAACCCCAGUCUUUAUCUCAUAGAUGACAGUACCACCCCUAUUGUUAUAGCCAAAAAUGUUUCCUGAUGCAUGGCCCUCAUUGAAAACCAGUGAUCUAGGAGAAGUGAGACCAGGGUGAUGUGAUUAGAAAACUCAUCUUUUGAAGAAUAAUUGAAGGAACUAGGUGGUUUAAUUUAAAGGAAACUAAAUAUGGCAGUGAUCAUUUCAGUAUCGGAAAGGUAUGGAUGGGCUUGUUCUCUAUCACACUGUUACGCAGAGCAGGACACUAAGUGAAAGUACUAGGAGGUUAGAUUUAUAUUCUGUAUACAGAGACAUUUUUCAACAGAUCUCUGGUACUGCUCUGAUAUUGUGGCGUCUCCUAUCGCUGGGGUUGGAUAACCACUUAGAGAAAGAUGUGGAUAGCAAAGAGUUUCUAGCACCAGAUAAAGAUUGGG